UGGAUGGAUGGAUUUUUUAUUCAUUCACUUUUUACUAAAUUCACAUGUUGUUCUCCUUGCCAUUUGAGAUUGACGGAUGGAGUCACAUUGAAACGAGAUGGGCAUCAAAUUUAAUAAUAAAGAGGGAGGGAGAAAGGGAGAGAUGAAUAGGCAGAUAGAUAGAUAGAUAGAGAUGGAUGGAUUUUUGUUUCAAUUUUCAUUAAAUGUACAGGUUGCCCAUCUUGCGGUUUGAGAUAGAUAAGAGAGGCAGACAGACAGACAAAAUGUACGUAGCAAGUAGACCUGCUUUAAUAGCAAGAUCCAAUAGUGCUUGUUGCUGUCUCUCUUAACUAGUAUGCAGCACCGGACAAAUCAUUUUGAUUGAUCUGCGUUUUUGGAAGCUUAUCCUGAAAAGGGGGAAAAAAAAUGUUUCUUGUUCCCCAUGUUUCCAAUAUCUGGGAGAAAAAAAAACACGCCUUUUUCAUUGUUUCACGGUAAGCGAACUAUUUACUACUGAACAUAUGGAGGGCUAUCCCGAAGGGAGGGGGGAAAAAAAGGGGGCCUCUGGUGUCUCAACAGACUAAUGCAGUCUGUUAUUAACAGCAGCUGCUUGCAAUUACUGCAGGUUCAAGUCCCACCAGGCCCAAGGUUGACUCAGCCUUCCAUCCUUUAUAAGGUAGGUAAAAUGAGGAUCCAGAUUGUUGGGGGCAAUAAGUUGACUUUGUAUAUAAUAUACAAAUGGAUGAAGACUAUUGCUUGACAUAGUGUAUGUCCCCCCUGAGUCUUCGGAGAAGGGUGGGAUAUAAAUGCAAAAAAAAAAAAGAAAGGUUAUGUAAAUCAGACUCUUUUCUAAGGUUCGACCAUCUCUGGCACAUAACGGGGAGCCUUCCACUGAACCUUAUAAAAAUGCAGCACCUGUCAUCAAAUCGGUAUGAAAAAUGAAAACCCAACCUCUUGAGAGGCGUUUAGGAAGCAGCUCGGGAUGCCCAGGUUUUCCAGUGCAAAGCUCCUUUCUAUUGUUUCUUUUCCCCCAUGUCAAGGAAAGGAAGGGCGUGUCCCUCUUAGCGAGCAUAAUUCUCAAGAGGCCACGUGUGUUUCAAAGAUUAACUGAACUGAAAUUUAAACGAACAAACAACAGGACGCACAGUGGCAUUGAAACAGAAGAGAAUACCAGGGCAUUCAUCGGGGUAGGAUUAUAAAAAAAAAAGAGAGAGUGAGAUUAUGGCUGAACACAGAAUUUCUUUGCAGUAAGAGCGGUUUGUGCAUAAAAACGUUCCUUUUCAAAGCCUCCCAUCUUAAAAUAUUUUGUGGCCAAAAAGGGAGAGAAAGAUGAACUUGAUCUACCAUUUAUGUUCUUUGGUCCCGUCCCCCACAAUCUCCACAAUGCUUUGUAUUUUAUUAAUUUAUUUAUUACGGCAUAUCCUGGUAAACUAAAGUAAAGGACAUACAUACAUACAUACAUACAUACAUACAUACAUAUAUAUAUGUUUUCUGAGGUUUUCACGGGUGUUUGUAUGUAGGUCUUUGGUUAUUUGGGUUUUCUUGCCCCUAGAAGCACUAAGGUGUAAACACCAGCCUGAAGAUGAUGAAUGAGACUUCGUUGAAACGUCACCAAGACACUUCCGCGGGAGAAAACCUGAAUAACCAAAGACCUAUGUGUGUGUGUAUGUGUGGUUGUGUGUGUGUGUAUAUAUAUAUAUAUGAAGGGAAAGGUUCCCCUCACACAUAUGCCCUAGUUGUUCCUGACUCUAGGGGACGGUGCUCAUCUACAUUUCAAAGCCGAAGAACCAGUGCUGUCCGAAGACGUCUCCGUGGUCAUGUGGCCGGCAUGACUCAACGCCAAAGGAGCACGGAACGCUGUUCCCUUCCCACCAAAGGUGAUCCCUAUUUUUCUACUUGCAUUUUUUUACGUGCUUUCAAACUGCUAGGUUGGCAGAAGGUGGGACAAGGAAGAGGAGCUCAGCACUAGGGAGCUGAGCUCCCGUUACGCAGCCCUAGGGAUUCGAACCACUGCACUGUGGACCUUUCGAUUGACAAGCUCAACGUCUUACCCACUAAACCACCGUGUGUCCUAUAUUUUCCCUCGGUGACUAAGCUGCAUCUUGGGCCAAAGGAUGGAUCAGAUUUCUCCCCGUGGAAGCGCCAAACUUAAAAGAUGAGAAUUCAGAAACCGCUCUCCGUCCCCCCCAAUUCUGGACUCUUCCCAGGGUUAGAAAUGCCUAAGCCACCUCACAGGAUCGUUAUGGGAAGAAUAGGAGAAGAAAGGAGCAUUAGGAAUUAAAAGAGUUUGAUUACAGCCCUGCGCUAAUGAGGGGGAAGCCGCGUUGGCAAAUGGAAAGGGUUCGGCAAGGCUGGAUCUGCGAGAAAGGCUCAGGCGGAAUAUUUUGAUAAGAGCGGCAAGAAGCAAAGUGAACCACAAAUGAGAAAAACUCUUCUAAAUCAAAGAAAAACAAACUCACACAGCC